rnacentral:rRNA from 1 species
GACGAACGCUGGCGGCGUGCUUAACACAUGCAAGUCGAACGGAAAGGCCCUGCUUUUGUGGGGUGCUCGAGUGGCGAACGGGUGAGUAACACGUGAGUAACCUGCCCUUGACUUUGGGAUAACUUCAGGAAACUGGGGCUAAUACCGGAUAGGAGCUCCUGCUGCAUGGUGGGGGUUGGAAAGUUUCGGCGGUUGGGGAUGGACUCGCGGCUUAUCAGCUUGUUGGUGGGGUAGUGGCUUACCAAGGCUUUGACGGGUAGCCGGCCUGAGAGGGUGACCGGCCACCUGGGGACUGAGAGACGGCCCAGACUCCUACGGGAGGCAGCAGUGGGGAAUAUUGCACAAUGGGCGGAAGCCUGAUGCAGCAACGCCGCGUGCGGGAUGACGGCCUACGGGUUGUAAACCGCUUUCGCCUGUGACGAAGCGUGAGUGACGGUAAUGGGUAAAGAAGCACCGGCUAACUACGUG